GGUCGAGAAGGGCUACUCCAUUAAGGCCACUCAUUCUCACCGUGAAAGAUGGUUGAAAAAUUAUCUAGAUAUUAUUUUCAAGUCUCCUAUGAAAAAAGGAAUGUAGGAGAUAUUUGUCAAUGUCAAGUGUGAACUGGAGAAAACAAAAUAAGAAGAAAGUGGUUGACUGGUCAGCAAUGGCUACUUCAAGUCUGUAGUAAAAGGCUACUCAUUCUCUGUUUUGCUGAGAAGAAAGAAAAUGCUACUUAUUCUCAACUCUCAAGUGAAAUACAGAGUGGAGAAAAACCAUCUUUAUAUUAUUUAAUUUAUUUCUCUCGUUUGCGAUCAUCCCUAUUUAGUAUUUCUUUAUCGCCUUCAAUAUUAAACUCCUCUUGUAAAGCUCUCGAAGUGUACAAUUCUUCUCAAGAAAAUAUUCAAGUUCCUACAUCUAUCUUCAAGUUGAAUAUCAGAUGGUGUAAAUCUUCGGUACCAAUUUCGAUUAGUGGGCUCAGGACUGGAGGUCUUCUAGGACCGGCAAGCAACAAGUCAAAGCAUGGCAUUCUCUUUCUCUUUGGAUGUGAUAAUUGGAAGAAAGGGAGCAUAAAAACUUGGUGACUAAAGCUAGAAGGGAGUUUGAACUUUGAAGUUAAAAAUGGAUCAGGCUAUAGUGGAACUCUUGCUUGGAAAUAUCAAUUCAAUCCUUUCAAAUGAAGCAUCUUUGUUAUGGGGGGCUCGUGAUGCAAUUGAAGAUAUCAAAGAUGAGUUAAUAAGCAUGCGAUCAUUCUUAGAAGAUGCUGAUAGAAAGGGAGUAGGGAGGGAAGGAGAGAAAACUUGGGUGGCAAAUGUGAGGGACUGGGUGUAUGAUGUGGAAGACAUUAUUGAUGAGUACAUGUAUCACAUGAAUCACCAACAAAUUGGCGGUCAAUCUUCCUGGAACCUUCAGCACACCAUUAACUUUCCAAAAAAUCUCUGGGUGAGACGUCAAACCGCCACCAAGAUACAAAAAAUUAACGCAAAAAUAAAGGGCGCCAUGCCGCAAAGAUAUGGUAUUGAUCAUAUAGAGGGAACUAGUUCUGAAGAUAAUCAGAAAUGGGUGGUGCGUCAUGCUGAAUCAUCUCUUUUUUCUAAAGAAGACGAACUUGUUGGGAUUGAAAAGAAAAGGCAAUUGGUAAUGGAUUGGUUGAUGGAUGGAGAACCACAUCUGACUGUCAUUUCGAUAGUUGGGAUGGGAGGUUCCGGCAAGACCACACUAGCUGCCAACACCUACAACAAUGAUGAUGUAAAGAAACAUUUUGACUGUUGUGCAUGGAUCACAAUUUCCCAAGCAUAUGAAUUAGAAGACGUAUUGAGGUGCUUGAUUAUGGAAUUCCACGAGUCAAGGAAGGAAAUAAGUCCAGCAGACUUGAAUUCCAUGAAAUACAGACAGUUAGUAAAUACAUUGGUGAAUUAUUUAGAGAAGAAAAGGUAUCUACUUGUCCUAGAUGAUGUUUGGGACACAAACCUCUUGGAUCAAAUCAAGGUAUCAUUUCAAGAUAGUUGUAUUGGUAGUAGAAUCAUCCUUACAACUCGGAAAGAAGAUGUAGCUUGCUAUCAUUUGGGAGGUAAACAUCAUAUUCAUCAUAUUCAGUUGCUGCAAAACGAAGAGGCAUGGGAGCUCUUUUGCAAGAAAGCAUUCAUAAAUUGUACCAAUGGAAGUUGUCCACUGGAGCUUAAAUCUUUUGCUAAAGAACUUGUGCGAAAAUGCGAAGGCCUACCUCUUGCAAUUGCGGCUUUGGGUGGUCUUAUGUACUCCAAGAAUAUGUCUGAGUGGAACGAAAUUUACAACAGCUUGAAUUGGAGUCUAAGUAAAAAUCCUAAGCUAGAAGCAGUGAAUAGCAUUUUGUUGCUUAGUUUCAACGAUUUACCAUAUCAAUUGAAGCAUUGUUUCCUAUAUUGCUCUCUUUUCCCAGAAGAUCAUGAGAUUCGAAGAAAGAGGCUCAUAAAGCUAUGGAUGGCAGAAGGAUUUGUAGAACAAGAUAAAAGGUCCAUGCCAGAGGAAGUAGCAGAGAGCUACCUAUUAGAACUCAUUUUUCGAAGCAUGCUUCAAGUUGUAAAAAGGAAUGACUCUGGAAGGCCAAAGAGAUGUAAAAUGCAUGAUAUUCUGCGGGAGCUUGCUCUAUCAAUAUCAGAGAGAGAGAAGAUUGGUGUUGUACAUGUUAGAAGAGAAGAAAUGACAGAAUGCGAAGCACGCCGCAUUUCAAUUCACAAAACUGAUGGAGAAGUCAAAUCAUUUACGAGGAUGCCAAAGCUCCGUUCUUUUCUUGUUUUUAACAAGAUGUUGAAAACAUUGCCUUUUGGAAGUAAAAUGUUAAGGGUCCUAGAUUUGGAAGAUGCCCCUAUUGAUGACUUGCCUGAUGAACUAUUCAAAUUAUUUAACUUAAGAUAUUUGAAUUUAAGGGGAACCUUAGUUAAGGAGCUUCCAAAAUCUGUAGGGCGGCUCCGAAACCUUCAAACCUUGGACAUCCGAGACACAAAACUAGAGGUCCUUCCUUGUGAAAUAGGAGAGUUGCAAAACUUGCGGCAUCUAAUUCUACACCAAUUCACUGGAAAUUGGAAUGAUUUCAAAAUUUGUACUGGGCCGCGAAUACCAUCAAAUAUCUGUAGAUUAAAAAAUUUGCAAGUUGUGACAUAUUUAGAAAUAACAGGUGACUUGUUGAAACAGAUUCGGAGCAUGACUCAGCUUACCACGAUCGCUCUUUCAAAUGUGAAAGCAGCAGAUGAGAUGGACUUAUGUGAUUCAAUUCAUAACAUGAAGCUUAUGCGCUACUUGUGUAUCGUGGUUACAAAUGCGGAGGAAACCCUCCGUAUGGAUGCACUUUCAUCUCCUCCUACCAACCUUCAAAAGCUUGUUUUGGUUGGAAAACUAGAAAAGGUGCCACAGUGGUUUCAUUCACUUCAAAGCCUCACAUAUUUGUAUCUGCAUUGGUCGAGACUGGAAGAAGAUUUACUCCCUCACAUUGCUGCUUUGCCCCAUUUGGGACAUCUUUCACUUUUUUAUGUCUAUGUUGGAAAACAGCUAUGUUUCAGUACAGGCUUUCUUAAGCUUACAAAAUUGAGAAUUUGUAAUUUCCCUCAAUUGAAUGAGAUAAUAAUAGAAAAGGGGGUGAUGCCAAAUCUGAAAUCCCUAGAGAUUUACAGCUGCAUGGAGUUAAAGGCAGCGCCAAAGGGCAUUGAAAACCUACAAAAUCUCCAACUACUGCAUUUGCAAUCUGUCUCAAUGGAACUUCAAAAUCGCAUUCACAGCGUGGAUUUUCCAAAGGUUCAGCACAUCCCAAAGAUCUACAUCUUGUAGUAAUUCAAAAUGUUUCACGAAGUGUUGCAAUGCAUCCCAAAGAUCUACAUUUGGUAGUAAUUCGAGAAUGUUUCAUGAAGAAUGAUGCUGAAGAUUAUGAGUUUGCCUUGUUUGCUUCAAAAGGAUUCUGUUUUGUUUGGAGCUCUAAUUCUAAGUAUUGUUUGGGUAUUCUAGUUAUUGUUCAAUAAAUUAAUACUCAAGACUUUGUUUCUUAUUUGCCUGUAAUAAAUGUAAAAGUUUGAACUCCAAGAUGCCUUUGUGGUAGUUUGUUGGAAGAUUGUCACUGGUUCAACCAUGGAUUGUAAUUUGUAUGUAAUUUAGCUUGUGUAAACCAUUAACAUCUGUGUGAAUUGUUUUCUAUUGUUUCUGAGUUUUA